rnacentral:lncRNA from 1 species
AAAAAAAAAAAAAAAAAAGUUAAUACAGUCAUAGCUGCCACUCCGUGUCAGUGACACUAUUGCGCUAACACAACCAAGGCCUCACUUAGAACCAUUAGCAUGUUGUACUGAUUAAUCAUAAUUCCCUGUUUGCUAGUAUUAAAAAACAUAAUUGGAUAAGUACUUUGUUCUUGCUUUAAGUUAGAGGAAAUAUUUUUCUGUUCUUUUCCAUAAGCUAAGUAACCUUUGUAACAGUCUGCUUGGUUGGGCAUUAGUUUAUUUCAAUGGUUUCACCCACCAUUUUCAAGGAAUAGGAGUACGGUUCAAACCUCUGAUGCGUCCAAGAUUAUAACCUAAAGCCUUGAUCUAUGAAGGUCCAUUUGUUUGAACUUACAGAAUAGAGUUUCCUUUCAUUCCAGUUCACACCAUCAUUCCUACAAAAACUUCUUCCUCUCACCAAUUCAUAGAUUGAAUGAUUUCACUUCUUGAUUUUUCAAGUGGGUGUUUUGGUUCCUACAUUUGUCAUCUCUUGCAUUCUGAAAAUUGUCAAAUGUCACUGGAACACUCAACCAAGUCACCUUGACAUAAAAGUAGCUUUCAUUGAGUAGCUCAAAGCCUCAAACCGAUUGGUUGGGUAUUCUUAGGAGAGAAGUCACCAUAAUCAAGACAAAGAACUAAACACUAAGGACCAAGUAUCCUAAAGGCAAAAUGUCGAACUCCAACAUACAUGAAUUGGUAAAUUACUGUGUCGAGAAAUUGUCAUAAGAGGCAUAUCCAACCCUGAUUAUCCUUUCUUUUUCUUGACUUUUCUUUCUUUCUUUCUUGUUUGUUCCACUAUUCAAUCUAAUAUCUAUGAAGAUUACAGCAGUCAUCUCCUGAAAACCCCACAACACCAUGGUAUUCCCAAGUCCCCUAGACAAUCUUAUCCUAUGAAUAAUGCAUGACCUGCCUUUUUUUUUUUUUUUUUACAUAAUACUACAUUUCCCUAUACUCAAUGGCUUAUGAAAUUAAAAUUACCCCAGAUUCAACCUAUCAAAACUCAAAUCAAAGUCCAAAAUGCCAGCUAAAUAAGCAAACAAAUUGGAGAAUUUACAAGUCCUACAAUCAGUCAACCUCACAAGGGUAAAGCCACCAUGUUUUUCAACAUUCAAAGCUACAAACUUCGCAAAUCAAACAAACCAUGCUUAACCUUUCAAGAGCCCAAAAAAGAAAAGGAAAAACAGAGAACCGAGACCUAGAAAAUGUGGAAUAUUUUCUCAUACAAAAAGGGUAUCAGAGAGAGCUGAUUACCAGUCUGUCCGAGCUGUAUUCUGGGAGAUACACUUUGAAGAAUUCAGGCAACACUCUUGGUGGUGAACUCAUCAGGAUCAACAACAAAAAAUAACACUCCAAGAACCCAGAGAAGAAGGCGAGUAUAUCAGCUAGAAGGGAAAACCCAUUGUUUCAGCUCACAAGGCCACACCUACUUAUAUCAGCAAAAACCCAGAGGCAUUUCUGAAACCAGGAGCAAGAAAAGCAAGAGACGGCCAGUUGUGUCAGACACAGUGGCCUCAUCCUCAUCUGUGGCGCGUGGAGGCACUUCCCAAUGGGUGAUUUGGGAUGUGGAGUGUGGUUAACACAAGAGUGUGCAGGUACGUGGUCGGACAAUGAAGAAUAUGGAGCGAAAACACAAAACGCUGAGCUGUGUUUUCUGAAAACAUUUUCAUUGUUUUCUCCGCUUCUCAAUCUUCAGUUUUCAUUAUCUUCCAUACCUGAAAGCGUUUUGCUCAGAAAGUUUGUUGCGUUUUUUUGGGCUUUUUCUGAAAAGUGUAAUCCCUGUGGGCUGAUUCUCUGAUAGCGACUGUUAAAGAAAAUCCUCCAAUUUUUUAUUUCGUCUUCUUCCUGAGUCUCCUCUUCCCUCAGUUGGGUGUAGGCUUGUAGCCCAUUUAUGAUUUAUCAUCUUCACAAUUAUUUUUGUUUUUUAUAUUAGUUAUAUUAUUCAUUAAAAAUAAAUAAAAAAAUCAAAGCCAUUCAAUUCCUUUUUGGUAAUAAUGUCAGGAAAAAAUGUUGAAGAAGGUCAAAAGAAAACAAAAGCAUAUUAUUUUUUAUUUUUUAACUUAAAAAUAGUUUAUAAAAACAAAUUUUAAAAAAUAUUAUCUAAUAAAUUAAUUUUUUAUUUUUAUUUUAAAAAACGGGUGAAAAUAACUCUUAUUUGUUUUUUAGAACUUGUUUUUUUAAUUCAUUUUGUUUUUAAAAAUUAUUUUUAAAGAUAACGAUUAAAUAGUAUUAAAAAAUUUUAAAAAUAAUUUUUAUUUUUAAAAAUAAAAAAUUAUUUUUAUAUUUUAUAAUAUGAAGAAUAAUUAAAAAUAAAGUACUCAAAAUAAAAUUAUUUUAAAUUAGGAUUCGGAUUUUAGUUUUUGAAAUCACUUUGUUUUUGUAUUUUGAAAUUGUUUUGCAAAACACUUUGAAAGGGGAUCACAAAUUGUGAAGGUAGAAUGUCAACCCAAUUCCAAAAGACUGUAUUAGAAUUAAGGAGUCCAACAUUUGAAAUGUUGUUACACCGAGGAGUAAUUUUUGUUUUUUCAAUUUUGAUAAUGUGAAUAAUUUCCAUGAGUUGUCCACUUGUCCCAUUGCGACGUCGUAUAGGGCUGCUUCCUUUUCUUCCUCUUUCUCUCUGCAAUUUCGGUGAAUUAGAGAGGAGGGUAGGGAGAGGACGGCGAGAGUGAGAGAGAGAGAAUGGAUCAAUCUUUCUUGUUAAUGUUGUCGAAUCUCCUCCACCUCCACAACCACCUUGAUCCCACCACCACCUCUCUCCUCUCCGACACCUCCACUGCCACCACCACUGCUACCACUUCCCCCACUUCCCCUACCUCCCUUCUCUCCUCCACCUCCGCCGCCCCACUCCUGUUCUUCACCAUCGCCUCUGUCCUUUCCUAUGUUGCCUCCUCUCGCCCAUCUUCCUCCUCCUCCACCUCCGCAGCCGCAGCCGCCGCCGCCCCCAACCCAGCGACUACUUCUUCCACUUCCGACUACUCCGUCUCCGCCUUCAGGGCACUCUCCACCGAGCACAUCUGGGCCAUGGAAGCCCCUCUCCGAGACGCCCAAUGGCGAUCGCUCUACGGCCUCUCCUAUCCCGUUUUCACCACCGUCGUCGACAAGCUCAAACCCUACAUCGCCCUCUCCAACCUCUCUCUCCCCUCGGACUACGCCGUCGCCAUGGUCCUCUCUCGCCUCUCCCACGGCUUCUCCGCCAAAACCCUCUCCUCCCGCUACUCGCUCGAACCCUACCUCAUCUCCAAGAUCACCAACAUGGUCACUCGCCUCCUCGCCACCAAACUUUACCCCGAAUUCAUCAAAAUUCCCGUCAGUCGCCGCCGUCUCCACGAAACCACCCAAGCCUUUGAAGAGCUCACCUCCCUCCCCAACAUGUGCGGCGCCAUCGACGGCAGUCCCGUCAAAAUUCGCAAUAAUUCUGCUUCUUCUUAUCGGUGUCGAUAUGGGUUUCAAUCCGUUCUUCUUCAGGUGGUCGCUGACCACAAGAAAAUUUUUUGGGAUGUUUGCGUUAAGGCUCCUGGUGGCACCGAUGAUGCCACGCAUUUGAGGGAUAGUUUAUUGUAUAACCGGCUUACCUCCGGCGACAUUGUUUGGGAUAAGGUUAUCAACGUCCGGAAUCACCAUGUCAGGCCUUAUAUUGUUGGGGAUUGGUGUUACCCCUUGUUGUCUUUUUUGCUAACUCCCUUCUCUCCCAGUGGUUCGGGCACGUCUGGACAGAACUUGUUUGAUGCGGCAUUGAUGAAGGGGCGGUCCGUGGUGGUUGAAGCAAUUGGGUUGCUCAAGGGGAGGUGGAGGAUUCUUCAGGAUUUGAAUGUGGGUAUGAAUCAUGCUCCGCAGACUAUUGUUGCCUGUUGCGUGUUACAUAAUUUAUGUCAGAUUGCAAGAGAGCCGGAGCCAGACCUUUGGAAGGAGCCGGAGGAGAGUGGACCUCCUCCUAGGGUGCUGGAGAGUGAAAAAUCAGAUUAUUUUUUCAGUGACAACUUGAGGCAGACACUGGCUGAUGAUUUGCACCAGCGGCUUUCAUCAAGAUAAGAGUUUGUACUGAGAAGGGGAUGAUUUUCAGCCUUUUGUCUCUAUAUAAUGAUGUACUUUUCCUAUAGUUUUAACAUGCUUUUAGGUUAUUAGUGGGUUUUCCUCAUUACCUCCUUAGUAAGAUCUGUAACUAUAGUUUCAGGACAACUAAGUUCCACGUGACGAGUCUCACUUGUAGCUGAUGGGACAAACUAACAUGGGAAUGAAAACUGAAGAUUAAAUCAAAAGAUGUCUAAUGGGAGGAAGUGGCAUAGAUCAUCCAUAGUCUGUUAGUGUGCUUUCAGUGAUGAAUUAGUUUCUUACCGCUGUUAUGUUUUUGGCUGUGUGCAUAAUGUUCAAUUUCCUCUGUUUAGAACAUGUGAAGUUAGUCCAGGCCCGAUGUCAUGUCAAUGCAUUCUUAGAGUAGAGCUGAUAAAUUUGGUCUGUUGUAGGCAUGAUGAUACUUUAUAUGUAAGAGCAAGCUAGUGGCUUUGUAAUUUUGGCUGGAAGGAAUCUCUUUUAUGAGAAUAUCAUUUUAGAAUUGUUUGUAGAUUUUUAAGGCUUGGACGUUGUCUUAUUGCUUCUUUCUUUUAUGCAGUGCAAAUAUGCUUUUUCUUUUUGCCACUUGAUUGGAAAUAUUCUUAUAUUGUUGAAAUCUCUCUGAUUUGUGUUUGGUUGCCUAUUCCAUCUCUCUUUGAACUCCCCAGUAAUUGAGAUGGGUUAAGAAUACUAAAUUUUUGGAUCUAUUUAUUGUUUUGGAGUUAUUUUGGAUGAUUGGUCUGCAGAUUUGUGGAGAAAACUAUGAUGUGCAGGGAUGAGGUCAAAAAGUUCUACAGAUGUAAAGAUUCUGGUGGAUACAUGUAAACCUAGAAUACAAUCUUUUUAGCUGGUAGAGAUUUUGUUAAGAAAGGUUAUUCUUGUGUCUCCUUUCCUUACACCGGAGGGCUUUUCCCUCACUAGGCCUCUAAAGGAGAUUGCUUAGGAAGAUAAGAAAGGUGAUAGCAGUCAUUACACUUUGGCAGAUAUUUGUCAUCAAUUGGUGAUGUAUGUGCCUUGUUCAUUUUGAAAAUUUCAAAAGAUACCAUUGAUAAAGUGCCAAAGGAUCUCAUUUGUUGUGGAUUAGGAAUUGAGGAGAGUGAUCAUUUGGUGUUGAGGGGAGUGAUCAUUCAGUAUGGAGGAAACUUUUUUUGACAGGUAAAUGGUUAUAGAGGUUUCCAAGGGAAACCAAUAACCAUUUGCAUGCUUUUUUUAAAGCAAGUAUAACAGUCACUCUAAUUACUACCCAACUAAUAUGGUGACUUGUUGAGCUCCUUGAAAAUGUAUUAGCCAGGGAUAUAAUUUCUGACGUUAUAUCUACUCCAGUAGCAAAGUAAUAUUUUUGGGAGAUAUUUAUUCAGUUUCUUGGGAUACAUUGUUUGUUCAGACUUAAUACUGCAUUGGUGGUGGAGUUCUUUAUUUCCCAUGGGCAGCCCUUCUGGGAGCCAUUUGACUGAAAUCCUAUUGACAGAAACUUCAUGAGCUUCUUUUGCUUCUUGAAAUGCUCAUAUGUGUCCAUGUCUCUUCUUUUCUUUCAUAGACCCAUUCUCUUUAGAAAUUUGUGCAAGUCAAUUCUCCAUUGUCCCAUUAAAUGAUCUAGUAAGCUCUUUCAAAAUUUGGGGAGCUUGUGUGCACAGUUGGUUAUCAGAAGGUUAAUGUUUGAGCUAUGCUUCAGAAAGGAAGCACAAAGCUCUGUCCAUCAUACAUGUAUAUGUGCUAAAAAGGCAAGGAUACCACAUAAGCACCCCUUUGUUGGUGAAGUCAAUUCCAUUUGGAAAUAUCUUUUUGUAUGGUGUGGCUGACUCUGAUUCUCCCAGGUACAUGUCCUUACUGUAUUGCACUUUGAUCUCCAGAGGGAGGCUGUUGUUUACUUAUGCAACAUGGCCUCUGUUUGGUUUAUUUCAAUGAAAAGGGAAAAUUGAUUUUCUAUUGAUAUGUAGUUCAAAAAAAUCUAUGGAGGUGAAAUUUCACUUCUUGUUGGUUUCCAUUUUGGGCUACAUUUUAUAACACUUUCUACAAAAAUUUUAUAUCACUUCAGCAGGGAUUAUGAUUUUCAUCACAUUUCAUACCACUCACUCUCCACUGUUGUAUUGCUCCCUUCAUGGCACACAACUCUGAUUGUUGUUUCCUAGAAGAACUUGAUAUUAUUUUUGAACCCUUAGAAACCUUUUGGAGAAGUGAAGACGCUAACAACUUGACUUGCGCUUUUUACUGGUUUUAAGGUUAGCAGGACCCAGAGUCUCCAUGACAUCAUUUAGUGGUUACAGUAGGGACGUUAUUAAAUGGGUCUUUGGAGAUUGUUCUACGUGUUGAAAGAGCCAAACAGUGUUUUGAGAUAUUUGAAGUGUUGUUUUGAUGGGUGCCUUGAUCUCUGAAUCAUGAAGCAGAUUCUCCAGCAAUAUGUGGAAAAUCAGCUGCUGAGUGGUCUAUGAGUUGAAUUCCACCAUUGGGCCUUUGAUCUUUGCUGCUUGUACUUUUUUUUUUCCUCUCUGGUUUGAGGAUGUGUCAUCCUCCACCCUACAUUUUUCUUUUAUGGGUUUUGUUUUGCAUGAGGAGAAAAGGGGAAAGAAAAAAGAGGAUACACAGGCUUUAGGUCUAACCUGUGAUAUGCUGUGGACCAAGCUUUUAAAAAAAAUCUGCGGCUUCUUGGAGUGGCUUUAUGGUAUAUGUGGUGGGCUUUGAGUUUCAAUUAACAAUUGAGCUUUUAAAGAUUUCUGAAAUAUUGGAUGGCAGUCCAAGUGAGCAAGGAAUGAAUAUGCGAGCACCAGUCAUAGACCAAAGAUAGAGCACCCAAAAUGCAAGCCUUUGAAAGGGGAGGUACUCUACAACUGCUCUAGCUGUUCAUUGUUUCAACUUGAGAGAAUUUGAGAUUGAAAGCUUAAACUCUAAGUUAAUGGAACAAGUUGAAACUUGUUUAAACUCUGUCACAGUUCCAAUGAUGGCCAUCAUCCAAAAGCCAAGAAAGCAAACAGGUUGAAACCAAAUGCUUCUACCGUCUGGUUCCAUUUUCAAAUUACUCAUGAUGUUUAUCUUGUUUGUUGAACUCUACAAGAUUGAUGAAUUUGCUGGAAAGCCUUUGGUAACAUCUGGGCUUAAAGCUUUCUUUUGGUAGCAGCACAAAAACUAAACAGGUUGGAAAACAUUUGAUAUAAGGCACGGAUGCGUUUGGCGCUUUCUGGCAUAAACAUCUGAAGGUGGGAAAUAUCUGACGGAGACGUGCGCUUGCAAAAAUGGCAACAUCACAUUCGAAUCUGAAAAAUUCAUCACCAGCUCAUUAUGAAAGUGGGCGACUCAUUCUGGCCUAUGGAUUUGUAGGUUUAAUAGUCAUCUAAAUCAUAGAGGAUGGACCAAUUCUACCUCCAAAGGACAUUGAAAACAAGCCGUUAGUGAAUUUAUUUGGUUGUUUCCUUCUCCCAAAAUCUGAUUUGGGUAAAAAAAAAAAAAUGAAAACAGAGGCUACAACCAAUUAUUCUUCUACAGAGCUUAUCUUUGAUGAGCAAAUUAGAAAGUAUGUAUAAAUACAAAGGGCCAUCAACAUGAAAACGAAGUCACCUACCAAAUAUACAGCAGACCCCAGGAAACGAAAGGGAAAAAUCACAACCAACAGAAGACGGGCCACCUCCUUGCCCAAAGCACCAAGCUAUCUAUAAAAGCCUAGCUAAGAAAGCUUGAUUGAUAACCCCUCCCAAGUCCAUGUUUAAGAGCUUCAACAAGAGUGGUGGACUCUUAAUAAUCGUGGGUCAUCCUGUCCUGAUCAAGUAAAACUUCUGUAACAGUCCAAAGUAGAAUCCAAAUGUUUUGAAGAUGCAUGGGACUUCAAAUCAAGAAUACUACAUACUUCUAUCAUGUAAAUUGAAAGUUGUAAAUAGUAGCACUGGAAAGAAUUCUAUCAGAUAUAACCAAAGCGUGGAUACAGAGAACGUGAAGGAAUAGUAGACUUUGAUCUGUUCUCCCUUAUGGCGUCUAUUGUACAUGAAGAACGUAUUCCAUACUCCCUGAAGAUCUAUAAUAGGGUUUAUCCCCCAGCAUAGGCAGUUUUCCCACUAUUUGGAAGGAGGCCAUCCUUAGCCAUGUCAGUAAGCACAUUAAGAACUGCUUCCAUGUUCCCUUCUUUAUGGUUAAUCUCAACAAGAACUUUUGCAAGCUCAGCCUCAUUCAGUCUACAGCUUCUCAAUGUGUCGCCUAUGACUUCACUCAUCUCCUCAUUCAUUCCCUCCUUGAAAAGUGCUUUAAUCAGAGUGAUGACAGUCACAGUAUGAGGGACAAACCCAGAAUGAAUCAUUUCCUUGUAUAAAUUAAAUGCCUUUGGCAAAUUUCCACCCCUACAAUGACCAUGUAUAAUAACAUUAUAAACUGCCUCACCAGGUUUGUGGUUUCUCUCAACCAUAGAUUCAAAAACUCGAUCUGCUUCAUGCAUUAACCCCUUCAUACAAAAUCCCUUAAUGAGAGCCACCACGCUCUUGAAUUCAAUAUUACUGCAAUUCUCUAUCAGUGUGUCAUAUGUGACAUCACUUGGAACAGACUCCUCAUAAAUCAACUUGAAGAGAAGCCGCUUUGCUUCCCUUGUGCGAGCUUGUUUAUUAAGUCCAUUAAUAAGCACACUGUAGGUAACAGCAUCAGGAAGGAAGCCCUUAUGUAUCAUUUCAUCAUGUAAAUGAAGAGCCUUAUUUAGAUCUCCUUCUACACAAUAUGCGUUGAUCAGCGUUGUAUAUGUAAAUUCAUCUGGAGGCAGGCCCAUGUCCAACAUCUCUUGGGAAAGAUCACAGGCUUCCGUUAGUCUCCUCAUCUCACAGAGACCUUGAAUGAGUGAUGAAUAUGUAACAGCAUCUGGCGACACACCCUUCUCCACCAUCUCCUGCUUCAUUUGGAAUGCUCUAUCCAACUCUCCUUUUCUACAAAAUCCAGAUAUAAUUGUACUAUAACUUACUACAUCAGGGGCCAACCCUUUCUCCACCAUUUCCUGAACCACUCCUAGAGCCUCCUCCAUUCUUUCCAAGACACAGUGCCCAUGGAUGAAUGCAUUAUAAGUCACAACUGAAGGUGAGAAUCCACUCUCAGUCAUCUCAUUUAAAAUCCGAUAAGCUUCAUUCAAAAGCCCCUGCCGGGAGAACCCAUCAAUCAAGGUUGUAUAUGUUCUCUCAUUAGGACGAAGCCCUCUAAUGCGCAUCUGAUCAAAGAACUCCAUUGCUCGAUUCAAAUUUCGAGCCUUACACAUACUAUUAAUCAAUGCAGUGUAAGUAACAACGCUUGGAGAGACACCAUUCCUCACCAUCUCCGCAUGAAUAACAAGCGCUUGAUGAAAAUUACCCUCCUUACAAUACCCAUUCAGGAGCGUAUUAUAAGUCACCUCAUCUGGAGUAAAACCCUUAUAACCCAUCUCCUCAAGAAUCUCCCAUGCUUCCUUCAUACUCCCUUCUCGACACAACCCAUUAAUGAUAACAUUGUAUGAAAUCAAAUUUGGCUGCAUACCCUUCGAAGACAUUGACUUUAACAACCCAAAUGCUUCAUCAAUCCUCCCCAUUUUGCAAUAUGCAUCAAUUAAGGUAUUAUAAGUAACCACAUUCGGCAAACACCCAUUUCUCUCCAUUUCACCAAAGCAACCCAAACCCUUCUGCAAUUCCCCUACACUGCAAAAUCCGCGAAUCAAGAUGUUAUAGGUAUACACAUUUGGUGAAACCCUACUCCUAAUCAUCUCUCUAUACACCUCCUCAGCACUCAAUUUAACUGAACCCCGAGACCUAACAAUUGCAUCAAGAACCGAAUUAUACGACAAAACACCAGGCAUAAACCCACUGGAUUUUGCUAAAUUAAUAGUAUUCACAGCCUGAUCAAUCAUGUUCAAGUGAGAAUAGGACUUCACCAUGAGAUCGAACACCGCAGAACUCGAAUUGUAGACAUGGUAAGAAUCUUUAAGGCACUGAAAAAUGGAAGAACCGGAGGGGUCGCUGGCACUGAGGGCGAGUUCUUGGGCCAGGGUUUGGGCAGUUUUGUAGAGCUUGAAGCGGGUGAGAAUGUGGAGAGAGAGGCAUUUGCAAUGGGAAUCGAAGAAAGGGUGGUUCCGAGCCCAGGUGAGGAAUUUUAGGGUUAGGGUUUGGUCGAAUUGGGACUUGAGUAGGAAAUAUGAAGCGGAUUGAGGGGUGAAACGGGAGGAUAAGGAAUCGAGGUGAUGGGGGUGGAAUUUGAGAAGAGUGAUGGCUUUGUCUACAAGAAGGGCAUGGGAAGUAGAAGAAAGAGAAGAGAAUCGGGCUUUGGAGGAGACGAGUUCUGGAAGAUUGGGUCUGUGGUAGGAUUUCGGGAGGAGCAUUUUGGAAAAGGAAGAAGCUUGGGCUUACCGGACGCUGGCUGCUCACUGGUCAUGGCCUCUUGUCUAGAACUGGAAACAUUUUUGGCAUGUACCCUAGAAUUUUCCAUAAUUUUGAAAUUAAAAAAACAGUUAGGUUAAAAAGGAAAAAUAAAAAUAAAAAUAAAAAAAGUUUAUGAACCUAUCUCCAAAAAAAAGCGUAAUUCAAUCCUAAAUUUUGUAUUUAUUUUUUAAAUAUUGUUUUUAUUAAUAUCCUUUUAAUAUAUAAAGGAAUAGAAAAAAGCAAUGGGAGUCAUUGGAUUAGUCCUUUCAUCCACAAAUAUUUACUCUCCUACAAAAGGUCAAUUAAAGAAAUAUUAAAUCAAAAAAUCAAAACCCCACAAAGUCAGAAUCUGAUAGUUGUAAAUAUGACUGGUAAUUGCUCCAUGCCUCUAUCAUGCAAUGCUACAAAAGAAGAUCCAGAGUCAUAGAUUUGUUCUUCAAAACGGUACACAAAGCAAAUGCCUCUCACCCUUGUACAUUGGACAUAACCCUUGUAUUAACUCAGUAUGUUCAGCUUGCCAAAAAAGAGAAAAAAACAAUAAUUUCAUCAUAACAAAACUUCUAAUUUUGGCCUUUUCCUCCUCUAAACCAGUCUACAAAACUAUUACCAUCCAACACGAGUAGCAGCAUGGUUCCCACCAACCUCAGCUUGGCAAUUUGGAGUAGAGUUCAAUACCAUCUUCCACACAAAAAUCAAAUGGACCAAAGGAACAACUGUUCUGCUAUUAAGACAAAAGAAAGAAUGUUGAAAGUACACAUCUGAUGAGCCUGGAUAAAUGGAACAUCUAUAUAUCAUCAAAUACCAGAGUUAUUAAGAAAAUACUAUCACCCAUACAGGCUACAACUUUACACCGAGUAAUUCCAGAGCUAACUUUCAUGGCUCUGGAAUGGACCAAGGACAGCGGCCUGCAGAUUCUGGAUGGUGCAAACUCCGCCCAGAUUGAUUAGCUUCAGAGUGGAAGGCUCAAGCUCCAUGCCAAGUAGUGUACAAAGUGUGUGCAACCUACUUGACCCUUUUGGUUGCAACAUUGCAUGGAAAAAUUGAUCCCUCUUUGAGUUCUCAAACGGGGUUUCAGUAUUUACUGUGCCUUUGCAAGAGCUCUGCUGGAGACACCAUGCAACAAUUUGACAAAUCCAAGGAAGCUUAGUUUCCCAUCUGUGUGCCUUAUCCAGUCAUGUAGAACAGCAUGAACUGGAACAGAAGGGCCAAGGCCAAGUUCCUGAAAUCAUAUUUAAAAGAAAUUUAAAUUCAAUCCCAUUAGUUUCAGCAAUCUACAAAAUUCAAAUCUCUAACAAUCACUUAGUACCACAGCAUCCAACAGGAGAAGGAAGAUUUUGGUGCAUACACAGCAAACACAGUUAUGAACUUCACAAUUUUAUGUGAGCCAAAGAGGACGACAAAAAAAAAAAGAAGCAAAUCAGUAAGUUCAGUCUAUUAUUGAAUGUUGAUGAGCUGUCGUCAAACUCAUUAGAAUCAUCCAAGCAGAUCACUUCUUAGGACCAUAUACAACCAGCUCUGGUUCUUAUUAAAUUUCCUACCAUGUGUAAUAUAAGUUGCAGCCCACAGGAUUUGAUUUCAGAGUUUUAAAAAGCAAAUAAAAACCCAGGGAAAGAAAGGAGGAUGAAAUGGAGUCAAAGGCAUGGCUUUCCAAUUUUGCAAUUCCAUUUCAUUAACAAUACAUACACGCAUCAAAAAUAGGCCAGGAGGGCAAGGCGAGAGAAGAAAAUAAAACCACAAGCCUCUGUCUCAGAACUAGCCAAAACAAAGAUGUCCAGUAUAUCCAAACUUACAGUCUCCCUAAAACAUGAACUCGAGAUUGGCAAGGAUGUUGGUUAUUCAAAGCUCUGUUAAAAAAAAUAAGUACUUAAAAGACUGACACAUUCUUGUUUUUCUAAGUGAAUGACAACCAGCUUCUGUGAUUGUAGAUAGUCACAUGCCCAAUGCAUGAGUGCAUUUGGAGAUAGUCACAUAGAGAGAGAGAGAGAGCACUGAAAAGGUGGCUCCAAUCCUACAGUAACAACCCAAGCCGGACAUUAACCACAGUCCAUACAUACCAUGUGCCAUGGAAUGAUACUCUCAUCUCUUCACUUCAUCCAGCAUUAUGGGACAUUAGUAUCCUAGCAGGCUAGCACCAAAGGUAGUGCAGCACAAUGAUUUUGAACUCCUGAUGCAGAUCAUAAAAUUCCAUGAUUCUAGAUCCUAUAUGAUAUUUUUUUAUCUCUCACUGGAAAUGUCCAAGUUAGUGAAAUUUCAUCAAAUUUCAAUACAUGUCAAUAGGACUAUAUAUUUGUCCAUAUUGAGUCAACCUGUGAACUAGUUAACGCAUAACCCAGCCAUCAUGUGGUCAAAUAUGAUAACAGCAUAAACUACAGAAGUCCUGCAUUCUAUCAAUAACCUAAUCAAUCUAUGUUAGUUGAGGCUUUGAUGUAAUUUUAGAGAACACAAUACAACUUUCAGUGACACAGGCCAUCAACUUUCUUCAAAUUUGAAAAUUUUCAAACAUACCGAAGCAAGUUCCUCAAUCAUAAUAGCCCUAUUUCCAUCCUUGUCAAAGAGUUCAUAUGCACAACGUGCAUGUUGUUCCCAACGAUCGAGUGCCUCCAGCUGAUGGACACUUAAUGCAGCUGCACAGAAUUCUUCGAAAUCCAUCCUUCUAUAUUGAAGUGCAUUUAGCUGUCAUAGAAUGGAGAUCCUACUAAGCUAUAAUAAAUAAAAUAAAGAAACAGUCACAGACAUGAACAGUAGUUGAGCUAUUACCGACGCAAGAAAAUCAGGGAUGCGAGACUCCUUCAUUGCAUCUGUUGCAUUUUUCAUCAGGGCCUGCUUAGAAUAACAUGGAUAAGAGACAACUUCCACUAUCCAAUCCAGCUACUUUGAAAAGAUAAAAGAAAAAAACCAACCGUCCUAAUAUUCUCUAAGGUAAUGGUCCCAUUUUUGUUUGGCUCCAAGUGUGCAAACUGUUCUUUCAAAUAAAGGAGUUCAUCCACAGUCAGCGUCUUCGACAAUGCCUGCCAAAGAGACACAUGAAUGAAACAGUAAAAGGUAUGUUAGAAUGAAGUAACAAAAGUUUGAAACUUCAAAUAUAAGAAAAUAUUAUUCCUCAGCUAAGGCAAUGGUCUCAGAAGUUAAACUUACAUAAAACAAUAACACUAACUUAGCUAGCUUAAGAAAGAACACAAACUCAACUCAGACAUGCUUUACAAAUGGUAGGCACAAUUUCUAACCCUGAAGUGAAGUUUAAACUUCCACCAAACAAUGCAUCCAGUUUAUUUUGGUACCUGUUGAUAUCUCUCAAUCUCAACACCCAAGAACAAAAACCAGAAGCCCCAAACUGGAUUGAUGAAUUGAUGAAAGUGUGAUGAAGUGGUAAUGUAGUAUCAUAUCAUUUAGAAAAUGCCCAUUUAUAUAUCCUCAGAUGGAGACUUGAAGAUUAAAAAGAAGAGCUAAAUUUCUGAGAUACACUAGGAAACCAGUUAUCCAUUCCAUUAGAAUUUUUCUUUCUCUAGAUAAAGUUGCAGCCUGAAGAAGAAAAACCAAACAAGGUUGAUGCUCCAUAUUCUUUCUUUACCCAAAAGAAUAUUCUACUAUUCCAUCUACGAAGCCAUCUCUCCUGGUAGAUUACACCCAAUCAUUUUCGGGAGGGCACACCAAUUUCUUUGAUGUUUCUACUGACACAAGCAUGGAGAAAUAUUGUUCUGUAAACAAAAUUUACUAGAUCAAGGAGAGCUUCUAAAAAGAGUUUAUUUAUUUCUCACAUUCCUCUAUAACACUCCACAAUCAUAUUCCCUUCUUUUCUUUUAGUGGGUAAGCAAGGAUAGAACACGCAUCACAUGGUUAUGGUGCAAAAUGUCAACAAAUUGAACUAAAACAAACAUGUCUGAGCCCAAGGGCAGGAGCCACUUUAGAAAAAAGAUUAAAAAAAAAGGACCAUCAAACAGCAGGGUUUGAGCCAAUGUCUCUUCUACAAAGAGAAAAUGGGGAGAGAGAGAGAGAGAGAAAACUUUUCUAAUACUAUACAUAUGAUUCUUCAAAAUGGAGAAGUACCCAAUAAAGAAACAUAUGACUUAGCCCCUGAUUCCAUGAGUGUCACACCUAUUUCAACUCGAAACACAAAGUUGAGUAUCUUAUGUAAAAGUGAAGUGAAACAAUUGACUAAGUGGACAUUUUGUUGAUUAUGAAACUCUGUGGAAUUUCACUUCUCAUAUUUUCAUAAUUACAAAUAAAGUCAAUAAAAACAGCAUAGCUAAUGCAUAAAGGAUUAAGCACUUCAUACUAACACUUGCAUAGUUAAGGAACAUAAGAAUAUUUGCCUUUGUCAAUAUAAUCUGUACACACCCUUAAAGCAGCCUUACGCAAAGAUGAUGACCGCAUAUAGGCUUUCAUGAGUUUGAAUAUUAGAAUAUCAAGAGGGACUUUCACACCAUUGUAACCUCGAAUCCAAGGAUGACCUGCACAAAAAGAGCUACUGCUAGAUACUCGGGAAGAUGAUAUUAGAAGCUAACAUUUUUGAGAGAAAAUUUAGCACUCACUUAGAGCCUGAGCAGCAGUGAUUCGUUUCCGAGGGUCUUUAUUUAGUAGGCACUUGACAAAGUCCUUUGCCUCUGAAGAUAAGGAAGGCCAUGGUACUUCAUCAAAACUUGGAUCAGCUUUUAACACUGCCCUAAAGAUUCCCGACUCAGUUCGGGCCCAAAAUGGACGACUACCACACAAAAGAAUAUAUGCUAUCACGCCUAUACUCCAUACAUCAGCCUCUGUACUGUAAGAUCUAUGCAAAACUUCAGGGGACACGUAGUAUGCACUUCCCACUAUGUCAUUAAGCCUUUCAUCUGCAAAUUGACAAAGCAUUAAAACCCUGAUCUACACUCCCAAGACAAAGAGAAAAGAAAUUGCUAUAGUCAUAUUAUUCAGGAUGGAAGGACAAACCUGGUUUGACAAAAUCUGAUAAGCCAAAGUCAAUAGCUUUCAACUCAGAGUUCUCAUCCUUAGAAGUAAACAAAAAAUUCUGGUCCAGAAAAUGAUUGCAUUAGAUAACAAAGAAAAAAGAAAUAUAAAGAAAUAGCAAUGUCUUAGCCAAACCCAAUUAUCCAUUAUGUACUAGGUAAAGAUAAAUUAUUUUCAAAUUAUGCUAUUGGACAAUAUCAUUUGAGGUGAGAGAUAUUUUGAGACCAUAAUACAAUACAAAUUCAAAUAAAAAAGUAGACAUGAUUAUAUAAUAGACAGUAGUAUACACAAUCCAUGCGUUUUUCUUUAUUUUUGGAUAAUUGCAGUUUUAUGCAGAUUUCCAAACCAUGAAAAUCCUACAAUUUUAAGUAACCAAAUAUGUGACACAUUAAAAAAAAAUAAAAAAAUAAAAAAAGGACAAGUCAGAGCAGAGCACUCAAACAGGAAAUUUGGUUCCAGCAACGGUUGAAAUUCAUUUAUGUAUUAUACCUUAGAUCUACAUAACAAGGAUAGAGACGUGAGUCAGUGCACUGCACCAGUAUUUGACAUGUUCCAUAUGCGUCUAAUACAAUAAUCUCAAGGAUAGAAAUUUGAACCUCAAUGUGGCUACAUAUUGCUACGAUAAUAGACAUUCAUUGCACAUUAAUGUCAAGGAAUUUAACCUAUCAAAAAUGCAAAACAGUUGAUGUAACAAGAGUCAGGGUUAAUUCUAAAUUAGAAUUCAAGAAGGAUACAGUAGAAUCUAAAGAUUUUAAGAUCAGCAUGGCAAUGAUAGAAUAGAUAGACAGUAACCUUAGUAAAACUAGGAGUGCAAAGUGAAAACAAAUGGCCAGAUACCCAAGGUCAUCCUAUGCUUGAGGAACUAGUAAGGGAUUUGCAAAGACAUGAGGUGGAGAAGUGCUUCCAAAGUAAUGCAUGAUCAUACAGCACAUAUCAAGAUAAAGGGAAAUUUUUAAAAAGACAGGCUGUCAAGGGGCAGCUCAUGUUAACACAAGGAUAGCUAAAAUGAAAUUGCUGAAACAGAAUUGCAAGAGCAAAUAGAACAAGAAAUUAAUGCAUAUGUGAGAAGCCAGAGAAUGAGUGAAUAUAUACACAUAGAGAAUGAGUAAAUAUAUAUAUAAAUUUUGCUUUAAAUUGUGUGCAACAGGUUCCUUUUCUAUUUAUUCAGACACCUGAAAGAACCAGCUAUUCAGAAAACAGCAACUUUAGACUUUCAUGAUGUGUUCCCACAUUCUAUGAGUGCAAAUCCAAACCUCCUAUUUUUAUAAGCUAAGUAUUUUGGGUUUGGGGAGGAUUCCUCAUUCUUUAUUUUUAUUUUUAAAUUCAUAUCAAUAAAUAUGUUUGUUUCUGAUAAAAACAAAAAAACAAAAAAACAAAACAAAACUUCUCAACUUCCGGAGUUUAAAUAAAUUUAGCUAAACUGAAGAUGUUUCCUGAGUGGCUCAGUCCCAAUGAAACUGUCAGGAACAUCUGUCACAGUGAUCAAACUAAAUGAGUCCAACAUGUGGUUCAAUUUCCUUACCAAUUCUUUCUUGUCAAUUCAAUUAGUCAUCUGGUCACUUUUUAUCCUACACUACAGUCCACAAUCUCAAAUCCUCCCUUCGAUACCCCAGUUAUAACCAAUCAGUUAGAAGAGAGAUGACUGAGCCAUUGAUAGAUUACUGCCAUAUAUUAACCACGCAGUCAUGAUAACCUACCAGAUACCAAACAACUGUAGACAAGGAAAUUGAUGCCACUCGGGGAAGUUUAACAUGACAUCAACCAUUCAAAUAGAAAGGAAAUAGAAACAAACGGUGAUGAACAAGUCUCAUCACUUUGGAAUUUGGAUGAUCGAGUACAGUUAAUGAUUCCAAUUCAAGUAACUCUAAAUAGGUAGAACUCUAAUCAUAUUGCAUUCCCUACAUUAAUUCUUAACAAAUAUAACUUCCCAGCAGGUACUAAUAUGAUCUGAAUAGGGAAAGAAAAAUAAGGGAAUAUGUUCCACCUCUGGUUUAAGAUCUCUGUGUACCACACCCUGGAGAUGGAAAAAUGAAACAACAUUCAAUAUCUGCACCAUGACAGCCCUCGCAUCAUCUUCUGAGUAUUUCCCACCCCUAAAAGGCAAUAAAAUAUCUAGUUAGGGGCUACAAUAAUGCACCUCAAGAGCCUCAAAGAACAAUGUUAAGAUCGUCCAUAUAGCUACCACAAAAAGAAUCACCUUGAAAGUAUUCUAUCCAGGAGCUCGCCUCCUUCGCAUAACCUGAAAUAUGCAUAAUAACUGAUCAACUUCCAUACAAUGAAAUAUAUUAUAAGUAAGAAGCAAACAAUCCUCUUAAUGAUUUUACAUUAAAAACAGACUAACAGAAACUCCAUGAGUAUAUGCCUUAACCAAGGAACAAUGUCAUUAGACCAAAACAAGAAAAUUGCUAAUAGCUAUAUAGCAUAUAUUAUUUUACAUCGAACAGAAAAUAUGCAAUUCACUCUAAUUAACUAUGAUCUUAAAUAGCACUGUGUCCCCGAGCUUACUCCAUUACUAUAUAGACGUUAUCAUGGUCUUCAAAUGCAUCAUAGAAUUGUACUAGAUUCUUAUGUCCUGUCAAGGCUCGCAAUAUUUUCACCUCCCUUCUCACAUCCUCGAUUGCAAUGGCUGUUGUCAUCUGGGAACAAAGAAUAUAUUACUAUGAGAUAAUAAGUGUAAGGAUAGCAAUCUCAAAAGGAGAAAGAAGAACCUUUUAACUAUUCAAUAUAAUCAUAUAUCCAUGAAUUAUAGAAAUUAGUAUAUAGAAAACCAUUGGUUUCAGACCAAAGAGCAAUUGUUAGCCCAAAUAAUUUUCAAAAUAAAAUUCUCCUAUUAAUAAUAUAUCACAUCCUACAGAGGUGACAUGCAUUCUCAUGAUUGAAUUUCCAGAUUCCAACUAUGACUAUAAUCCUUCAACUUUAUAGAACUAAUUUCUACAAAAAUCAGUCAAUCAACUCUUAAUGUAGAGUAUAAUAUUCCAACAACACUGCAAAUAUCCUUUUCAGCCUUUCUCUUACAUUUAACAGAAUCAAGUCAUAAUAUCUAACUACUGACUAGUUCCAUGUCAGCCUCCUCAUGAAUGCUUGGAAUUCUUUAAAUUUAAACAACCAUUCCAACCAUCACAACCAAAUUUCAUAUUAAUGAGCCCCUACCAAAACUUCCUAAAUGAAGAUAUGUUCUAUGCGAUCUGGACUCAGGGAUAAGUGUCAGGUGCAGGAGUGGGUGUGGUAUCCAGAUGGCAAAUUUGUUCAAUCACAAAAUUUGUGGAUUCCAAGAGACAGCUUCUUUUUUUUUUUCAGUGUGUCCCAAAGCAAGGUAAAGAUAUUUGUCUGAAAAGGCAUUGUCAAAUAAAUGACUGAUUUGUUAAAACUCCAUAUCAUGUGCAUUUUAGUACAAAAUGCAAGCAAUGGAUUUCAAGUUAUAGCAAAUACUUGCUUCAUUCAAAAUGCAAGAAAUGAAAGGGCCUAUUUACAAAUCUCUUAUCAUAAGUAAACAGCUGUUCUUGAAAGCUAAGUCCAAGGGCAACAUCCAUCCAACCAUCUUUCAGCGACUUGUUUCACUUACAGAAGAGUUCAAUGACCUAAAAGGUAUAAAGAUACAAUUUUUCCUUUUUCUUGUAUUUGAUUUUUUUUCCCUUUGUUUUUCUCUCUUCAACUUAUGCUUCUUUGAUUGGACACAGCAGUGGCACUGGUGAUUUACAUCAAGUCCAUGUUUUCACACCUUGUGUUCAAAUUUAUGUUUCCCAGUAUUUUUUUUUUUGAUAGGAAACCACACAAGAAUAUAUUGAUAGAAAAGAAGUACAAAAGGAGGAUGAGAAAUCCUCCCUCCAAAAGAAAACUAAACAACAUGAAAAAAUAACAAAACACUAGACCGUCCCAUUGGAACUAUUUGAACAACACACUGAUAGCCAAUCGAGUUGUAGUACGUUAAGGGGGGUGCCCUUAAAACCCGCUGAACAAAACGCCCAAAAGGACGCAAGGAAAUGAAUGGAAUCCCAAAGAUUCCCUGCAUUCCUAGCCUUGUCCUCAAAUAUCCUAGCGUUUCUUUCCCGCCACACAACCCAUAUUAACGCUAUACUCGCGUUUUGCCAUAGAAUUACCCCUCUCUUGGACUUGCCAAAUCCUUUGUAAUUGAUGAACAUUUAUGUUUCCCAGUAUUAACUCUUCUUCAUCUCAAUGUCCUCAAAUAAGUUGAGAUUAUAGACCAGUUUGUUCUCUCUUUUUUAUAGGAAAAAAAUAAAUUAUAUCACAAUAAAAAGGAAAUAGGAUGAAGAAAAAGAGUUACUUUAAACAUAGAAAAAAUGAGAAACCAACAACAAGGCCCCCCAAACUCCACACACCAAAUACAAAGCAAACCCAAGGAGUUAAUGGGAAGUAAGUGUCCAAGAUACCCCAUGAAAGAGGUUCCCCCCUUAGCCAACCAAUCAGUUUCUUGGUUGACCAACCUGGACAUCCACACAAAGAAACAAUCCUGCCCUUGAACAAACCAAUGAUUCACUGCAUCCAGCAAUUGCACCUCCAAGUGCUCUCUUAAUCCAAGAAGUAGGGGGAAGAUGAUAAUCAAGCCCUCAUCCAGAAUGAGGUUGUAAACUCCCACUAUUGCAGCCUCUUUCUGGCCUUCCAAGUUCCAAUAAGACUAAGUUAUCAUCUAUGGCCAAAUCAGUAGCACUAGGCUAAAGUGGAAACCCAGACAAGGAUCCCCUAUCAUCCAUAAGUAAACCUCCAAUAUUCAUUUCACCUAGAUUACCUGAUUAGCACCCAUCAAAUUUGAUCUUGAGGAGCACUACAGGUGGAGGAACCCCCACUAAGCACCAAUAAUAUCUUUGAUCUAAUGACAUAAGUAAUCAUCCUCCAACCCAGUGAGAUAAUGCUGACAAGAGAACUUGUAAACUCUACAAUGAUCGUAAAGAUCCUACUGUCUUCAUACAGGUAGAUAUCUCAAGAAAAUAAACUGACAGGUCAACUAACAAAGCAUAAUUCCACAGAAAUAGCAAAUAAGUCGCUAGGUCCCCUCCCACAACUUUGAAAAGACAUAAACAUUUCCUCUAGAAUGUCUCUAGAAGCUAUCCACAUAAAACCAGCUGAUGAAAUAAAUAAAGCCACAUACCAGCAUCCCAAUAACAUGCCACUUCUCAAUUACUAAAAAUUGCUUCAUAAAGCAUAACUACUUUUUUUCCUCCGACAAAAGAUCAACCCAUUUAAGUUUGAUUGGCCUCCCUUGAUGGAACCUCUCAUUAAACUCUCCCAUUUGCAAUUGUGGAGGCAACAUCCUCCUUAAAGCUAUGGUACUAAUGGAUAAUCUUACAAAAAAAUUGCAUUUCAUGUUUUUUUACAAUCAAUAAAUAAAUGCACAAACAAGAAUAAUUCCAAUUUAAGACUACAAUAAGAAGAAACCCUUCUGUGUCAAUAUUAAUGAGCAUUCCACUAGUGAUUGCUCCAUCACACGAUGUCCUUGAUAGCAUUAGUAUAUUUCUUGGAGCUAAUCUUUUAAAUGCAACAAAAAAAAUAGAACACAAGGUUUUAAACAAGGUUUUGACUUGGGUCAUUCCAAAUAUAGAUACACACACAUAAAUAAAUACACACACACGCACAUAUAUACACAGACAUAUGUGCACAUAUAUACACAUGAAUACGUAUGAGCAUGUGUGUGUUGUGUGUGCAUUGGAGUUCUAAGAAUCCCAUCAGCACAACGUUAUAGUAUUUUAGCAUUUUUUUUUUCUUGAUAAGCAAGCAAAAAAUGUAUUAACAGCACCAACCAAAAAAGGGCACCAAAAGGCAAAAGCACAAAGAGAGAAGCAAUAUAACAAAAGCAAUAACUCCUCCCCUUUACUCCCCUUACACAACACCCAACCAAUCAGCUGUUGCGUCAUUUAAGCCCAAUCUUACCCACUUCAAAAGAAAUCAUAAAAAAGAAUGUUUUAGCAUUUGAUCUGUUUGUUCCAUGUCUUUAAAAGACCUACUAUUUCUCCUUCCAAACAGUCCAAAAAAACACACAAGAUAAUGACUUUCCAUGCUUUCUUUCUUUUCUACCCCAUAAAGGAUCCUUGCCAACUUAAAAGGGACCCUUUAACUGGAGUUGGCAUCACCCAAUCUCACAUGACCAAAGAGAAAAAUAGCCACCCCCACUAGAUUCUUGUUUUGGUACAAUGAAGCAAAAGGUGGCCUAUUGAUUCUUCUUUUGAUAGGUGAUAAGAUUAAUAUAUUGUAUUAGCAAGCGCAAAAAAAUAAUGGACCAAAGUACACAAGACGUAUACAAAGAGUGCUAAAUGAUAAACAAAACACCCCCCACCCCCCUCCUCCUCCUCCGCAAAAGCCUAACCAAUAAACAAAAUUUAUUAAAGACUUUGAGCCUUCAUCUAUAUACAACUUUAUCUGGCAAAAAAAGGUACUAAGGAAAAUACUGUUAAGAAUGUGAACCAACUACUCCUUGUUUUCAAAUGACGUUCGAUUCCUCUCUUUCCAACUGUCCAAAAGUGCAUAACAAGGUAGCUCUCUAAACCUUCCUUCAUCUUUUUCCUACAAGGGAGUCAUGUCAACCUAAAAGUCUCUUUAACUAUGGCAGAGAAAACCCAAGAAACAUCAAGCGAAAAGAAGAGCAACUGUCAAAGAACUGGCACAAUGCAAUAAAAUGUGAUCAAUUGAUUCAUUUUCGACUUUACAAAGAAAACAUCUAUUAACUAGAGUCCACCCUCUUUUUUGAAGUUGAUCUAGAGAAAACCUUCCCCUAACAAGCUUCCCAUGCAGAGAAGCUUACUUUAGAUGGAACCCAUGGGUUCCAAAUGACCCUCAUCAGAAAAGUAAUUGAAUUCCCACACUCAAGCAGCAUCAAGAGACUUCAUGAAGAAGCAAUCAUUCCUCAAUCCCAUCCACAUUGCCCAACCCACCUCCUCUCUUUUCAGCCUAACCUAGCAGUUUAGAGAAGAGUUGCUCCAUAUUAUCCAGCUCCGAAACAUUUAGAUUUCUAGAAAAACAUGUGUUCCACUGUCCCUUCUCCCCUAUCAGGUCCCACCCAAGCCUCUUUUGAUAAGGCUAAAGUGUAUAAUGAUGGGAAAAAAAUACAUAAAAUGAAAUUUUACCAUAAAGGAUAUCACAAUCCUUCCUGACAACUUUUCAUAACCCAACACCAUACCCAGCUCUUGCAACACAAGACCAAUCCCCCUUUCUUUUUCCUCUCCAUAAGGCUCCCCUUUUUGGUGUAUAACGCCAACUCCACUUGUCCAAGAAAGUCUUAUUAAGCAAAGGAUGACUUUGAAUGCCUAAACCCACCUUUCUUUUCUUUGUGAAAAUAGUUAACCACUUUUCUAAAUGAAAUCUUUUCUCUAAAGCCCCUCCUCCCAAAAGGAAGUCUCUUUAAGUCUUCUCAAACCAAAUUCUAACUAAUAUUACAGAGGAAACAAUGGCAUAAAAUAGAUGGGUAAGCUAGAGAAUGUGCUCCAUAUCAAAACAAGCCUUCUCCUCUUUAGAAAUAUAUUGUCUUUUCCAUACUAAUAGUUUUUUGCAAAAUCGCUCUACCACUCUAUCCUGGGUGACCACCUAUUUAAAAGAAGCUUCCAAUGGAAGCCCAAAGUAAAAAUAUGGAAGAUCUCCUAUCCUCCACCCUAAUUCAUAGCCAACUCUGCAUUGUCCACCCUUCCAAUUACAAUCAACUUGCUCUUUUCUAGGUUAAUUUUCAAACCCAAUAUGACUUCAAAUCACAUGAGCAACCAACAUAAAUGAACCAUUUGAUCUUGAUUAGUCUUAUAAAAUACAAGGGUGUCAUCUACAAACAACAAAUGAGAUACCUCCUCUCACUCUAAAACCUGACAAGUAGCCUCCUUUCUUUGCCCUCUUUAGAAAAAAACUAUGGACCUUCAUUACUAUGACAAAUAAGUAGGGGGGAAAGAGGAUCCCCCCUAUUUUAAUCCCCUAGAGCUUUAAAAAAAUCCAUAAAGGGUGCCAUUAACAAUAACUAAAAAUUUUGCAAUCAAAAUGUACCAUUUAAUCCAUUUUUAUCCAUUUCUGCCCAAACUUCAUCUUUUCAAAAAUUAAUUGUAAGAAGUUUCAAUUGAUAUGGUCAUAAGCCUUCUCCAUAUAUAGUUUGCACAAAACACAACAUCCCCAACUUUUCAACAUAGACUCUACUGCCUCAUCAACUAUUAGCACCGCAUCAAGAAUUUGUCUUCCCUCUAAAAAACAUUUUGAAACUUGGAAACCACUUUUCCCACCACCAUAUUUAAUCUCCUUGCCAACACUUUAGCAAGACUUUUAUAUAAACUUCCCACCAAGCUAAUAGGCCUAAAGUCCUUCAAACCCUUUACGUCCCCUUUCUUAGGGAUUAACACCAAGAAAGUAGCAUUGAGACUUUUCUUAAACUUGCUUCAUUAAAAAACUCUUUGAAAAAACCCCAUUACCUUUGUUCUUUUUAGAAAAUCCUAACAAAAUUGUUGAAAUGCCAUUGAGAACUCAUCUAGACUUGGGGUUGUGUCCCCAGUCAACUCCAAAAAAGCAUUAAAAAUCUCUUCCAAUUUCUCCAAUUUUUUUGCUUCAUGCCUAUCAAGAGUAUCAAAAGCCACCCCAUCUGUUGAUUCUUCCUUAUCUUUACACAAUACACAUCUAUUCACCUAGGUCCAACCCAUCUUUUUCAGUUAAUCUAUGAUGAGGAUCCUACCCUAAGUUGCUUCUCAUGCAAAGAAUCCCACUUUCAUUAGCAUCCAUAGGUUCCAAACCAUAUCUACUUGGUAUCAAAAAUGAGUAUUAAGAUUCUAUUGGGAACAUUCUGUUUUUCAUUUCUAACCAUAUCACCAUAUCCUCGCCACUCUUGCUUACUAUUUUCAUUUGCAACCUUAAAAGAAAAUCCCCCAUUCUUUUGAGCUCCUAGUCAUGUAGUUGUCUUACAAAAGAGGCACACCAAUCCCAUUGCUCCUACACAUUUGCUACCCAAGAAUCUUUUGAAGUAGUUACACAAUGCGCCUAAACCAUACCACCUACCUUUCCAAAACUUUACCCUUCUUCCAUCUCCCAGUAUGAAACUAAAUUUGUUAUUAAUGGCAUCCCAUCCUUUUCUUAUUGUGUUCCACAAGCCCACUCCAUAAUUAUCCCUUAUAUCAUAGAAACAUUAACGCCCUUCUAAGUGCCCUAAUUUAAAUCUUUUCCACAACACUUCUCAUUGAGCCUAUAAAUUCCUAAUAUCAAGACCCGAACAUUUUUUCUCCAUGCAAACAAUUUCCAAUUUACUACAUGGGAUUUGUUCUCUAACUCCCCACCACACACACACACAAAAGGAAAUCCCUUUGAACAUUCCCAAGCCUCAAACUUACUCUUUUUGGGCUAACAAACAAGGGCAUAUGGUAAAUCAAUAGAUUUAAUAAAGUAUUUUUAACUUAAGUGAGUCCCCCCCUUCCCCCUUGAAAGAUAUAGUCUCUACCACAUUGCAAGUCUUCAUUGGAACCUAUCUUCCACCAAAUCUCACACUAAAGAUGAUUUUAAAAAGGCACCUAAAGGGAGCCCCAAAUAUGUGGUGCAAAGUACCCCUACCCUACAGAUCCACACCAAACUAGCUCAUCUACAUUUGUUAACCCUCCUAUGAGGUUUAACUCAUUUUUUAGUAAAUUAAUGUUUAGCCCAAAUAUUGUCUCAAACCACAUUAGAGUCCAACUUAGGUAUGCCAAAUGCUCUUGGCUAGUAGCACAAAGAAUGAGGGUCAUUGGCUAAUAGAAAAUAGGAUACCUCCACUCUCUCUUUCCCUCUUGCCUUGAAACCUAAGAUGAAACUCCCCUUGCAUGCCUUUUUCAGAAGACAUUUAAAAGGAGAAAAGUGUGUUUCCACACACUUGAAAAAAAAAAACAAAAACAAAAUAGGAGCCCAAUUUUGCAAAAUCCAAAUUUAAUAUAUUUACCUAAAAAUAAUCAGGAUUUUGUGAGUACCUUUGACCACACAAAUACUACACCUUUGAAUGAUAUAGUUACACCUUUCACCAUCUCAGGUCUUUGAUUUAAUGGUGCAUGAAAUUUAAAAUGUGUACAAGGAAACACAUUUUUCCCCAUCUAAAAGCUUUCAUAGCCAAAACAAGGACCUCCCUCUCUCACAUCCCUUCAACUUUGAAAGAAACCAACAAGAGUUCCAUUUACAAGAACUCAAAAUCUAGAAAAGGAAAUGCAUCAUUUUAUCUGACCUAUCCACUUUUCAUCAAAACUCAUCCUUUCCAUAACAAUAAUAAAGAAACCCUAACUAAAAUGACCAUAAGCCUUUUCAAUGUUAAGCCUACAAAGAAUACCACCAAUCAAACUCCUUAGUGUGAACCCAUAGUCUCAUUUGCAAUAAGGAUGACAUCCAAAAUCUAUCUUCCCUCUACAAAAGAUUGUUAUGAUUGAGACACAACCGUUCUUGGCCAAAACCUUUGUUAGGGUCUUAUACAAACCUCCCAUCAAGCUGAUGAGUCAAAGUCUUUCAAGUCGUUUUUCCCCUUUUUGGGUAUUAGAACCAUAAAUGAGGCAUUUAAGCUUCUUUCAAAAGUGGCUUGCGGCCUUGCCCACAAAACUCCCCGAAGAAACCCAAAACCUUGUAUUUCACAAAGUCCUAGUAAUGCUACUAAAAGACAAGAGUAAAGUUGUUGAGACCAAGGGCUUUCUCCCCAUGUAAACUAGAUAAAGCCAAGAAGACUUCCACAAGAGCCUCCAAACUCCCUAAAAUCACCAUUCCCCAAUGAGGCAAAAUACAAGUAAUCUAUACUAGAAUAUCAAUCCCCUAAUGCCAAAAAAAAAAAGGUUUUGAUAGGCAUUAGACAACCCUUUGUUCAUAUAGGACUCUUCUGCUAGUCUCUAUCAACCAAACAUCAUUCACCUUAACUCUGGCCAUAUGGUUCUUUGUCCAUCAAGCGUUAGCCAUCUUAUAAGAAAGGCUAGUAUUUUUAUUGUUCUCUUUCAACCAUAACUCCUUGGACUUUUGCCUUCGACAAGUUUCUUUCAAUCUAUCCUACUUGUUGUACUCAUCCAAUUCCACCUUUCUAGCCUUAGCUUCAUCAAUACAAAGGACCCCUUCCUCUCAUUAGUGUCCUAGAAACCAAUCUAAUUUAAGGCACUUACUUUUCCAACAAAGACGUUCCCAAACACUUCUUUGUUCCAAAUCUUGGUCUUGUUUCAACGCUUUCAGCUUAGAGGCCAAAAUAUGACUAAAAAGAGCCUCUUCCGUUAUAAUUCAUCCACCAUUUCUUUAGAAGCUCUAUAAAACCAGCUACUUUUAACCACAUGUUGUAAAAUCUAAACAGGGUUUUGCCUCUCCUCAUUCCACCUGCAUCCAACAAAAAGGCCUAUAGUCAAAUAUAGGCUUUGGCAACACACUCUAAUAUAGACCAUUAAAAUGAUCUUCCCAAUCUUCCUAGUCUUCUGAUACUAAGAAACAAUCCAACCUUGAUGCAUAAUAAUUAUUCAAUCCAUCGCACCACACGAAUGGACUUCCAAUCAAUGAACAGUCCCUCAAUCUCUACUACUCAAUGAUCUUCGAGGAAUGCCUCAUUGAUAACAAAGGCCCAAUGUGGUUCUUCCUUUCUACCAAGAAUCUUAUCAAAUAAAAGUCUCCACCCACACAACAAGGGACAUUCCAAAGCCUCUUAUGUCCCCUCGUUCUGCCCACAAGUCUUCCUUUUUCCUCUUAUAAAAGAAACCAUACAUUCUUGUGAACAUCCAAAAAAUUUGUCCUUACAAAAUUUGAACUGUCAAGAAAUAGAGAAGAUUCCCACCUCCAUCUCAAUCAAAUCCAGCACCCUAUUACCUCAAAAUACAAUUAUAUCCCCUGCCAUUCCCCUAGCUUCCACUGCUCCCCACUCUAAGAAUCUUCCCACCCCUAGGCUCCUCACCAACUCAGUUGACAUUUUCUGGGCCUUAACAUCUUGUAAGCACACAAUGUCAACCAUUGAGAUUUAGCAAAUAUUUUAAAGUAGUCAUGGCAGAAAAGUAUGCCAAAUUAAAGCCAGCAAUGAAAUUAUACAGUACAUCCCUAGCUUAGCUUCUAAAGGAAAUCUUAGCAUAAAUCUCUUGGUAGCUAAGAGAUUAUUUUACAAUAUCAAAAUAAUUUUUCUCACAUAUCUCAUUAAUUAUUUGCAUUCACGUUGGUCGAUUCAUACUUUGCUUUGUAGAUGUUAAUUAGCAGCAAGUAUGGCAAAACAAUUUGAUAGUUGUUGCAUCUUCAACUAGGCCUGUUUAACGCUAUGUGAAGAAUGAUCUGUAGUAAAUCCCAAGUAAUUUGUAUAUAAGGCUCAAAGUUUUUAAAGGCGAAAGCGUAAGGCGAGGCGUUUUUGUGUUCGUGAGGCGAGGCGUAAGCCUCGAGGCGUUGAGGCGUAAGCUUUUUGAGCCUUACUUUAUAUAAUUAAUUAAUAUUUUAAAAUAUAUAAAAUAAAAUAGCAUAAAUAAAAACAUGAAAAUAAUUCAUUAGAAUCAUAAAAAAAACAUACUUUGCCUAAUUUAAUCACAAAAUUAUUGUAUUGUCAAAUAUAAUGAAUGAUUAAUCUGCUUUAUUAUAUGUUUAAUCUUUUUAUAUUUUAUAAUAAAUUUGUCCUUAUUAUAUUAAACUUUUUUAUAUUUUAUAAUUUUAUAUUUUAAAAAGUAUGAUCGUGAUUGAUGGAAGAUUUUUAUUUUAAAAAAAAAAUUAUUAGUAAUAAAUCACAUUGAUCAUUAAAUUACAUAAAAAAAAAUUAUAUUUUUUAAUUUAUUUUUUUCAAUGGUGUGAGGUUUGGUUAACAAUUAGACAACCAUUUUCUUAAGAAAAUCGUAUUUAAUAUUUAAAAGUAAGUGUUAUUUUCCGGUUGAAAGGAUUAUCGGCCCGAACCUUUGUCAACCUCACAGAUAAAAUAGAAGAAUAUUGUUUUAUACCAAUAAUUAUAUUAUCCGCCGCCGCUGGAGUUCCUAAACCGCCACUAAAGAUUGCCUACCGCACGCUUUCUCUGACUUUUGCACCUAAGCCCUGAGCAAUGGGGCCAUACCACUAGCCCCAUUAAAAAAUGGUGGAAAUUAAGGAGAGCGUGGGGGAAAGGAUACCGGGGAAGAGGAACGAAGAGGGAGAAACCAUGGAAGAGGGAGUUCGCAACAUACCUGGAGAUGAGAGGGAUUGCCGCCGGAGAAGAUCGCUGCAAUUGGUCGCCGCCGAAGGUGAGCACUCCGUCGCCGCUUGACUGGAAGAGGUAGGGUUUGUUUUGGGUUUGUUUUCAGUCGGGACUGGGGUUUUAGGUAUUCUUAGGGUUUUUUUUUUAAAUCUUUCAUUGCCACAUCAGAUCCGACGACGCGUACGCCUCACCGGAAAAGCGUGAAAGGCGCGAUCAAAGCGCGCCUCAGUCACGCCUCACCAGAAAAGCGUACGCCUUUCAGGUGUUUCGCUUUAUUUUUAACGCCUCAACGCGUUUUCGCUGCGCCUCGCCUCAAGGCGCGCCUCAAGGCGCGCCCCACCAACGCCUUUAAAAACACUGAUAAGGCUUUGUCAAUUAACUUGAGAUUAUAAGAAUAUAAAUUUAUGAGAAAAAAUUCAAUAUUUCAUCAUUACUGUCUGCUAUGGCUCUAGAACCUCUUUUCCAUGGUUUUGACUGCAUUUAGAGAACUUAGGUGCAAAAACUAAAGGAAACCACAAACACCACAACAUGCAUGUACCUUUGAGAAAGCAACAAAAUUAAUUUGUCCUAUUCUAGCAUCUUUGUGUUUGGUUACAUCCACAAUUUUUGGCACAUGCACAGCAUCUCUCAUUGAAAAGUUUUUCCUCUUCCAACUGGUUAAUAAAUGAUCCUAGAAAAUCAUUUUCUAAGGAAGGGAAAAUAGGUGCACAAUGGCUUUCUUGGGCCUUGAUUUAGGUUUCUGAGCUCCUUAUCUUCAUUAGCUGGAUAUACUCCCCUUUCUAUGAAUAGACCAUCAUGCAUACGCUCAAAUAAUUGAUGAAACACCUUCAAUUUGAUCUGAGAUUAGGAGUAAAAUAAAUCAUAUAGUCAAUUUAAUGUGCCAAUCAUUUGGAGUAAUGCUCCUAUCUGGUUGAUGCACAUCACAGUGCAGCUAGCCCAUCACCAUUUCCUUUGAGUAGGUCCACUAGCUAGGAGGGAGAUAUAACCCAAACCAUGGACCUACUCCCAAUCAUGUCAUGUGGCCCCCAUCACAAGCUUCAGUCAGGCUAGGAUGGCCAUGACCUGUGAGCAUGGUCCAGUAGUGGGCCUCAUUUGAGUGAUUGUACACUGAACUUAGUUUCUUAGUAGACCAUGAUCCAAACCCUGUUUGGGACAAUAAUUUUUUUCAAAUGAUCAGGUUCAAUCAUGACCAUAAACCAUCUGCUUUUGAUCCCUUAGUACAGCAGCCAAAACUUAUAUAACAACAGAGUGUUUUGUCAUUAAGUGAAGACAAAACAUUUUUAUCAUUAAUUUUCUUUCUGAUUACGUCCUUGACCCCUUCCAUCAAUUUCCAAUUAAACAGAUUGAUGAUUCAUAACUGUACUGUUAGACCAAAAUGCAAUUUAAACAUAAAAUAUGCAAAUCAAAGGUAAAGGCAUCAAGAGAGUAGCUGGGGGUGUUUUUCAAUAUAUGCAGACUGGAAGCAUGCCCUACCAUUGACCCAAAAAUAAACAAUUUAACCGAUAAGUCUCACAGACAAACUUCCAAUCAAGAAAAUUAUUUAGCUCUAAAGCUCCUACAGUAUCACGCAAAAAUGAAAGAACAAACAAUAUUCUUCCCGUAAAAAUAUUUGAAGGCGCCAAAUAUGUAAACAUGCGAUAGUUCCUCCUCUGUCGUCACUCUUCCUAGCUAAGUGGAAUAUAUACACAUACGUUAAAUGUAUAGACAAGUAAAAUAAAGAAAUAUACAUACACACAUGCAUGUAUAUUUGAAGGAAAAAUAUCAAAUAACUUAAAUCAAUUGAACCCUAAUAAAUCACACAGUGAUCAUCGUUUGAAAUUUGGUGUCUUUUGAAAUUUGGUGUCAUUCGCAUAUGCGAAUCUUCAGAAAAGCAAAUAACAACACAAAGAGAAAAUCAAAGGAAAAAAAGGAAAAGACCAAACCUUGGCUUUAGGGAUGACUUUGACAGCAACUUGCUGACCCUUGCGCUCACCUUUCUUGAACCUAGCAGAACAAGUAUACCCAAAAUGUCCCCUCCCCACUUCUUCGCCAACCUCAUACUUACUGGUGAACUGCUUCGAGAACCCGAAACUCUUAUCCAAACCUCCCGCCGCAGCUUCUUCCUCCUCCCCCUCCCCCUCCGGUAUCGCGGCCGCCUUCUUUCCCUGCCUUCGGGCCAGCACCGCCUUUAUAUGCUUCGCCGGAGACGGCGGCGGAAACGGCCUCUUGAAGAACCGCCGUGGCGUGGAGCUGGCGCUCCGCACCGCCGGAGACUUCUUGGAGAAGAGGUAGUGCGCCGGACUGGGACUGUAGAAGGGGAAGAACGGCGAGCGCUUCCCCGGCCCCUCCGCCUCAUCCUUGCUGACUGCUCCAGGGGUUGCAGAAGGUUCCAAAGACUCCGGGGCGUACGGAUUCUGCUUCGGAGGCUUUGAGGCGCAGAUUCCCAUUUCCUCGCUUUCUAGAAACUCAUGACAUUGCUUCGUUUAUCACAUGUAUUCAGAACAGCCUGGUCCGAUGGCGAUGUGGUGGCCGGAGGUCGUUCCUCUGGUGGCGCUCGGCCGAGGCUGAGCUUUGGGAGUCGGAAUAGAUCCAAGAUUUUAGAGAGAGAAAUAGAAAGAGAGAGAGAGGGAGUGGUGUAAUAAUAUUAAUAAUAAUAAAAGCUGAGAAAAAGAUGAUGUAUGAGAUUUCCCUUUUUCCUUUUUUUUUUUCUCUCUCUCUUUUCUUUUUCUAAUUUUUAAUUUUCUUUUAAAUAUGAUAAUGUGGAUUCGUGUAUGGUGGAUGAGAUGAUGCAGCCUGUACGAUCUCCCUUGCCACGUGGCAUCCACAUGAGUUUUUGACCACUCCAGUAAAUUAACAGGUAGUUAUCACCUGCGGUCGAGUCUACUGGAUUCAACUACGUCUUAUUCUGCUAGCAGCUGAUUCGCUACUACAAUUAAAUUUCAAAUUUUCAAAAAAGACAACAAAAUAAAUAAAAAUAAAUAUUAUUAUUAAAAAGGAUAAUGCGGUGAUUCUCUCGAUGCAUUGGUGAUAUUAUCAUCCUAUUAAUAUUAUAUUACCAUAUUUUCUAAAUUCUACAUCGAAUUAAUAAAUUUUAGGUUUUUUUAGAUAUUUUAAAUUUAUUUAUUUGAAAAAUCCAUAAUAUUGAGAAAUGGGAGAAAUAAUAUACAUUGAUUAAUGUGACGUAUCCUUUAAGGAAUGGUGAUCCUACAGCAAGAAAAAAUUAUUAAAGCUUACUCCCACGGAGACAAGUAGCCUAGAGACAAAAUUUUAAAAAAUAAUAAUAAAUUUUAUUUAAAAUAUUUAAUUUUAUUAAGCUAAAGAAGUUAUAAAAAUGUUAAAAAUUUAAAAUUUUUACAUUCAAAUAAAAUUUUUAAUAAUAAGAAUUAUCGAUGUUUGGUAAACUAACUUAUAACUUUAAGUAACUUGAUAACUUAAUUUAAGUCGUUAAAUAAAUUAAAUAUGUUUGAUAAAAUAAUUUAAUGAUAUAACUUAAAGUUAAAAAUAACUUUAAAUAAUAAGUAAAAAUAAUUAAUUUAUUUUUAAGUCCAUAUUUUUAUUUUAGUUUUUUAUUCUUAUUUGUUAUAAUCUCGACAACCUUCAUUGUUUAUUGACUUGCUUUGUCCAAACUAUAAUUUAUGAUAAUAAAUAUGUCAAUUUGAUGAUUUAAAAUAGUUUUUAAAUUAAAUUUUAUCAAAUAACAUUAAUAUUUAAAAUAAGAAUUAAAUAAUAAGUUUUAAAUCAACAACUUAAGAAAAAUUUAAUUUAAAAUUAACUUAAAUCAUUAAGUAAUAAGUACUAAAUUUUACCAAACACCCCUUUAAUGAUUAUUUGGUAAACCAACUUAAUAAUUUAGAGUGACUUAAUAACUUGAUUUAAGUCAUUAAAUAAAUUAAGUAUAUUUAGUAAAUUAAUUUAAUGAUAUAACUUAAAAUAAAAAACACAAUUUUAAGUAAUAAAAAAAUAAUAAUUAAUUUAUUCUUAAGUUUAUAUAUUCAUUUUACCUUUUUAUCCAUUACUUUUAUCUUUUGUUACUAACCUUUUUUAUCCUAAUUAUAAUUUAUGAUAAUAAAUAUGUCAAUUUAAUAAUUUAAAAUAAGUUUUAAAUGAAUUUCAUCAAACAAUUUUACCAAACACCCCAUUAGUUUAAAAAUAAAAUGAUACUGAAAUAUUUAAAAUUUAUUAAAAAUAAGGGUCAAGGGUUGGGCUAAAUUAUUAUUUGAUCUUAAAUAAAUUCAACUAACUAAAAAAACAUCGGUAGAAAAUGAAGGUGGGGUAGUCCAAUCAAUAUCUUUGUCAAAAAAAUUAAUGAAGUUGGACCAACGAAAUUGGCGCUACUAAAAAUAUUACAAAAAUGCCACUCAUGAUGAAAUUAAUAUUUGUCUUAAACCACUUUUGUCAUAAGACUAAACUUUAUAUUAUUGGGAUGUUUUUAUUUGGUUUUAAGUAUUUACACCAAUCCAACCUUUGCAUUUUUCUAAUAUUUUAAUCUUAAGAUAUAAAUAUAAUUUCUAAUAUUUUUCUAGUUGUAUAAAAUAUUUAGGUGAAGAAAAGAUUAUUAUUUAGAAUACAAAAUUAAGAUUUUGAUGUCGGUAGAAGCUCUAAAAAUGUCCUUUUGAAAAAAUCCUUAAAUUAAUCUUUUUUUUUAAAACAAAUAUUAGCAUUUUAAAUUUCAAGUUAAUAAUCCUUAAAAAAAAAUUAAAAUAUGACCUAUUGGAGACAUCAAAAUUUAUAGUCAAUUAAAUCAUCAUUAAACUGGUUUUCAAAAUUAUGGUUUCUUAAUUCAACAAAAUUUGAGUUUGACAAAUAAUAGUCAUACACAUAUUCAUAUAUGCAACUGCAACUUAAUAUUUUUUUUAAAAUGUAGCAGAGAGAAUAAUUAUGAUAUAAAUUUGGAUAAGAAUUUUCAUCUUUAAGUAUGUUUGAACGAGUGAAUGAUACUUCUACCAAAUUUUGGAAAGACCCUAUUAAUAAUCAAUUAGUCAUGCAAUAAAGAUAUUUGGAAGAGUAGUCGAAGACCAUGCCUUGGAAGUCUUAUAAGAAUUAAAGUUGUGGAUGUAGCCUUGGAAGUCUUAUAAGAAUUUAAGUUGUUGAUGUAGAAGUUCAACCACUUGGCCAUUUUUUUUACUUUUUUUUUGGGAAAAGUAUAGAAUUUCUAAAUUAAUUAUUUUAAAAUUUAAGUGUAGACCCCCAUUAAGGGCACGUUUUUUUCUCUCAUUUUGUGCAGCUCACUGGCCAGCUGGAGGGCUCCUUGAAAGCCAAGUGCUGCCUCCUGGUUGGUGGCUAUGGAAUCAACUUAGUGGAGUUGAUGGACGAAUGGGAAAGCAACACGAAUAGGAGGAGAUGCUGAGGAUCUGCAGGCCGUUAUUGGGCAGCAUGCCAGCUGCAAGAGAGAGGUGUCUUUUUCUGUUNNNNNNNNNNNNNNNNNNNNNNNNNNNNNNNNNNNNNNNNNNNNNNNNNNNNNNNNNNNNNNNNNNNNNNNNNNNNNNNNNNNNNNNNNNNNNNNNNNNNAGAGAUAAUCAUGUCUUUAAUGUUUGCCAUUAUUGAUUUUAACUUGCUUUGCCUCCAUUUGUGAUGAUGAGAUGUUCAAGAUUCAUGCCUGUGUCUACACUUGAUGUGGCUUACUCACCUGCUCGGAAGAUCCAUUGAUGACUAAUGAAGUGGAUUUUCCGAGAUUUUCUUUAUUUACUUGUUUUCUGUUAUGCUCUGUUUCUCCAUCUUCCUCUGUUUUCUGGUACUCAUCCUUGGCAUGUACCUGGUUUCUCAUCCCGGUCUGAAGAAGCUAUGUGAGGGCUUUCAGUGAGUUUUUCUUAGUUCGUUCAGACUCAAGAUGAUCCAGCUGUUGAGAAUCUCCAACUUCUAGUUCGUUUGAUGGUAUUUGAACAAUCAGCAGGGUUGACGUGACCGUUGUGGUAUGGAAGAGCAGUUUGAUGAUAAGAGAUGUAAGUUUUAUGGAAGAGAUAUCACUCGAUUGAGAUAGAGAAAUAUAUGCCAAGCAGGGAAGGUAUCUGAUGGGUGCAACAAAGAGAGGGUAAACUGUGGGGAUUAAUCUGAUAAGGACGGGAGAUGAUUGCUCAGAAAUUAUGAAGGAAGGCAAUGCCUGCAGGCCGCAUGUGUUACUCAAGUGACACAUCUCAGGCGGGUGACCCCUUAUGAACUCUUUGCUGAGCAUGUAAUUCUGAUCAUCAUGGUUUCAUUUUUCGUCAAGCUGAUUUCACUGCCAGCUCACUCAUCUACCCGUUUCCCUUUUCAUACCCAUUUCACAAAUAAUGCCCACCUCUCUGUACCCAUUGGAUCCAUGCAAAUCCUCCAUACCCAUUCAACCACACCCAUCCAACUCAUUUCAUCUCAUACACUGUCCUCCCACUAAUUCACACCACACCAUAUCAUCUUCAUGCCCCAUGCAUGCACUCAUGAAACCCAUUCCACAUUACCGCCUUUCCUCUCUCUUCAAACUCUUUCAUACCCAUUUCCCUCUCCAUCUUCAACUCUAUUCAAACCAUUAUGCCCACAUUCCCCUACCCAUAUCUAUACCCGCUUCUGAUACCCACCAAGACACUCCUCUCACUAACCAUCGAACCAAGAUAUUCCACCAAGCCCUCACAAAUCCCGUUUGGCUCCAUCUACACCACGUACCUUUCACACUCUACCGGGUAAGUGGUUGAGAUUGGAUGAAAGUGUACAACAGUCUGGAGUUUUCAUGAUAUCUCAAGUUGACCAUGCAAGUAGUGUCAGGGCUGGAGAAAAGGGUAGAGCUCAUAGCCGAAGUAGGAGUCAGAGCCCUAACAAGGGGCAGGCUUAUGAUGGUGACCGGAGCAAGUCUCGCAACCGGAGUCAUAGCCUUGAAAUAUACAACAAGGCUCCACCUGUACGUGAAUGGUCCCUAGUGCACAGUUCCUAUAAAUCAGCCAUGGAGCAAAAGCUUCAGUCAUCACUACCACUACAGCGACCAAGUGCAGUUUCCCCUCGUCGGAGCUGGCGUCGGCGACCCCGAAACCACUGCAACCUGCCUUAUCUGCCCUUGCACAGACAAGCAAGUCGUCUCAUCCAUGGAACUCAUCUUUAUCUUGUGCAUAAGUGGUAUCUCAAGACGACAUGGACGUAUCUUGCAGUUCCUGUCUGCCUAUAUGCAAGAGAACGGACCUUGAGAUUGUCUCGGUCUGGUUUCUAUGUUGUCCGGCUUCUUAAGGUUGCUAUGUAUCCAGGAAAUGUCCUCGUAUUGCAAAUGUCCAAGCCCCCUCAGUUUCCGUUAUAAGAGUGGACAGUACAUGUUUGUUCAAUGCCCUGCAGUUUCUCUAUUUGAGUGGCAUCGAUUCUCUAUUACCUCAGCUCCAGGUGAUGACUUCCUUAGCAUUCACAUCAAGCAAGGACGUAGGUGAUUUUGAGUUCGGGCAGAUCAGGUGGCGAUGCUUCCAACGGAUGAGCCGUUCCCCGACGGCAAACUUGUUCCUCUAGGAGGGGUCCAUAAGGGAAUUUUCUCUGCAUGGCCACCUUUAUGCAUGGCCACCCUUGGCCACGUGCCACCUUCCAUUUCUUCCUUUUGUUUUUUUUAAAAUAGCUUUCAAAGUCCCUUUCUUUAAAUAAUCCAAGUUUUUCAUCCUUAGAGUCUUAGGUAUCAAAAAUCCCGUUUUUAAAUAAAACUUUGCUGCCAUUUUCUUUUCUGGCAAGCAAAUUUUAUAACUCCCAUGGUUUUUUUUUAAAUGUUUUAAAAUAAGUAUGAAUUUAAUUCUGUUAUUCCAAAUAAUGGAAUUUAUGGAAUUAAUUCAUAUAAAAAUAAACGGGCUUUGGUGGGGGCCCUACAUAUGUGAUUUCAUGAUUGAUUUACUGAUUAGUUGAUUGGCUUUCUAGGCAUGAUUGAUUUGCUCUAUUCUUGAUAUGCGCUUAAUUAUAUCUGUUUAUUGUUCACUAACCAUGUUUCAUGAUAGCGCAUUCGUGAUUGCCGCUCAGGUAUGCAUCUAUUCAUAUUUUGCUCAUUCUUUAUAUAUGCUUUGCCUCUCACAUGUGCAUGAUUGAUUCGAGUAUUUAUUUGAUUUUCUCAUUGAUUGCCAUGUUAGCUUCACCUCAUUAGUAGAGACCCGACUUAGGGACUUAGAGGGGUGCUACGGUUUUUACCGUACCUUCCCGAUAAGUAACCUGACCCCCGAACCCGAUCCGAUUUUUCAUAGACCGCCUUUUCCAAAAUAAGGAGUCACACUUAGGGUUUUUCUUUCUUAUUUUGUUUACCCUUUAAAAAUAAAACAAAAAUAAGUGGCGACUCCAAGUCAUUUUCAAAUAAUCAAGAGAUAUACAAUUUUUCGAAAUAAAAAUCGAGUUUCGCCAUCGAGUGGGAAACGCAUUCGAGCGAUCGAAAUGCAGGGUCCACAAAAUGGCGACUCCACUGGGGACCUUUAGAGGGUCAAGCUUGAACUUAGAGUGAAGCAAACGUGGCGUUUGAUGAGUCGAUCAGUGGAUACCUAUUUCUUGAUUGCACAUUGAGAGUUCUUGAUAUCAUUGGAUGCAUGCUUAGAUAUUGUAUUCAUUUGGGACAUGGACAUACUGAUUAUGAUGAUCGAUUUAUAUUGAUUGAGGAUUCUGAUACCAUGAUUUCUUUUGUGUUUCAUUGAUAUAUUCGAUUGAGACAUUGACAUGCUGGAUUAUUGAUGAUUGAUCUUAUUGUUUUGCUUUUGUCAUGAUUGUUCUGAUCACUUCACAUGCAUACACUCACUACUAUACAUCAUUCGACUCGACAUGCUGAUCCACUUGAUGGUAUAUUAUUUUGAUCAUCUUUGAGCGUGUUGUCUUUGUAUCACUAUCCAUCUGAUCGUCGUAUUCUCGCUUAUUUUGUGUGUGUACAUUGAUGAUAUAUCUGAGAUUUGUUUGAUUGUGUGUCGCAUGACUGCCCUCCUUUUGCAUGACUGCGUGCCGCUUGUUUAUGUGGGUCGCACAUCUAUCCCCUUAUCUCUCACUCUCUAGUCUCGGUCACUUCCUUCAUUACGGUUCUCACUUUUGCAAGUGUGAGACCUUGUGUGUGCUUGUACUCUAACCGAGAUAGAGGUUAAGAGUAGGGUCUAACAACGGGCUAUACCGAUGUUUGGGAGCAUUCUGGAGGAGAGCGACACUUUGGUGUCGAUUGGAGUCCGAUCAUUGAAGACCUGUAUAGCCCGGAGCUAGGUUUCAUGGAUAUUUGUGUGGCCAGUGUGUUUCAUUUUCUGUUUUAGCUUCUUAGGGUUUUCGGAUGCACCCACACCAUCCACUAUGCACUCUAGUCGACCAUUGAGCGUUGAGAGUUUGAGAGGCUUCACCAUAGGAAACCCCCUGGGAUGUCGAGGUAGUGCAUGUGUGGAGGUGAUGACCACCUUGCAUGGAAGCGCCCCGUCUCUUUAGAGGCGUGCAGAGGGUUGCGUACCGCCGGAGGGUAUGAUCGCUUCUGCUAGGGAUCUUUAAAGUCCACCCAUAUCCAUUUAGAGCCACCUUGACCUUGUAGGUUGAGCCGUAGAUCCUUCGAUUAGGACUCCCUCUCUACACGUGGGUGCAUCUGAGGGCUUCCAGAGCCUCUGUGGUUACAGUUUGGAUCUAGUACUCCCUCUUUUUAGUCUCCAGUUGAGAGUGCUCGGAGAUCGGUAUGAGUUUGAGUAUCGGUUGGAUCACCUUUCAUCUUGUCGCUCUUUACUCGAUGAGUUUGGCAUGUUUUCUCCCUAGGGCUUUUGUUCUCAUUUCUUGGCUCGGCACACCCCUUCACUUUGUCGUCACUCACUCGAUACUUUGGGAUAUGUUCAUUGAUCAUCUUUUUAUACUGUACACCUAUCACGGGCUCAGUACCUCAUCAUUUGUUUGAUCCUAGGUUCGAUUUUCAACUCGAUGCUCAUAUUUUCAUUACAGAAAGGUGAAAGGCAUAUUUUCAUAUUCACACCUUUUUCGAGAGAUUUGCCUUGAUCACCUUAUCAUUUUUUUUUCUUAUGGAGCUCGAGUUGAAGGUUGAAUCAAGGAUAUUUUGGUCUAUAUUGAGUAUCGAUCUCGUGAUAGUGUUCUUCACACCCCAUUUACUUUCUUCACACCUCGAUCAUUUUUUGGAUCAUCGAUAGAAAUUCUUUAGUCAUAUUUGUAGUUGUCUCACACUAGACACUCAUGUGACUCUAGAGUUUCUAUCGUACAUCCAAAUUUUGAUUGUCACCAUAUGAUUGUGUGUCGCACCCUGUCAUGUAUUGGGUUGUAGUGUAUCAUGCAUUGGUCAUUGUUCGUUGCAUCCUGUGUCGUUGCAUGAGUCGUGUUUGAGUCGUUGUGUUUAGGUUCUUUUGUAGGGGUCUAUUUGUAGUCCCAGUCUUGGUUCAGUGCCCUGGGUUGAGUGGGAUAGAGGUUGAUUCAUAUCUCUGAGUUGCUAUAGACGGAUUCACAGUCAGUUUCGAUUGGUUAGCUUAUUGCUUCUGUGGUUGCGAUUCGGGGGGCAUUGGCCAGUUUGAGUUAGAGGAUGGAUACUCAGCAGAGUAGGCAUGUAGUGCUCGGGGACACACCAUCUGAUUUAGUGACACCACCUGUUCUACCUGUUCAGAUGCCAGCUACACAGACGUUGCCUACUGUUUCACAUGAUUAUGCUGCUGUCAUUCCACCUAUGGUCACACCAGUUACCGUUAUUGAGGAUCCUCAUUCUCGUAUGGACAUACUCGAGCAGAGGAUUAGACGGAUGAGAGAUCUUGAUGAGAUGAUUUCAUGGGAUGACCCUGACGAUGUGCCAGUGGCCACUUUGCCAGUCGGUUUCAGGAUGCCUGAUAUAGAGAGAUAUACGGGUGUUGGAUGUCCUCGUAUUCAUCUCAGACUUUAUAGCACAGUUAUGAGGGCCCUUGGUCUAGAUGAGGCACAGUUGCUUACUUUGUUCCCAUUGUCAUUGAGCGGCAUGACACAGAGAUGGUACGCUUCAUUAGAGACAUCUCGUCGGAGAACUUGGGAGGACUUAGCACAGGAGUUUCUGAGACAGUAUUCCUUUAGUGGUGAUACGAGCGUUACACGUAGAGAGCUUGAGUUUCUUCGACAGGGACCAGAUGAGUCUGUUUCUUCUUAUCUCUCGCUGGAGGGAGAGGACUGCAGAGAUGAUUGAGCGACCUACCGAGAGAGAUCAGAUGAGUAUGUUUUUGAGGAGUUUGCAUCCUAGGUUUGCUCGGCAUCUGACGGGAGUCCCAUUCCAGGAUUUCAGAUCACUGGUUCAGGCUUUAUUCGAUGUAGAUGAUGGCAUAUCUAGAGGAUUAUGGUCAGAUAUUAUUCCUUCUUCAGAUACUGAGAUGAAGGGAGUUGGUGGAUCAUCUGAGAGCUAUGGAGACGUAUGUUCUGCGGACUUUCAGCAUCGACGACCUGGUUAUCAUCACUAUGCGAGAUCACUACAGACACCUAGGAGUGAUUUCCCACCCUUACAGCAUCAUCAUUCUCAUUCAGUUCAGCGGUACCCUUCUACGCAUCCUCAUGCUGUCAUGGUGCGACCUUCAUUUCAGUUUCAGCGUCCACAGACUAGUAUCCCACGGCAUGAUCAGUCUCGUCCCCAUCGGCGACGUCAGAGGACUUAUUCUGAUUUGGGGAUGCCUCUGGAUAGAGCUUUUGAGCGACUCAGAUCUACUGGUUUUUUAGCACCAUUGGCCCCCAGGCCAUCCCCGAGUAUCUUACCUUCGCGUUUUCGUGCUCAUGAGUUCUGUGCAUAUCACCAAAUGGCAGGCCACCGUACUGAUUAUUGUGCUUCUCUACGUCAUACCAUACAAGAUCUUAUUGACAGUGGUGUGGUUAACUUUCCUAUAUCGACUACGGAUACUGAUCUUGGUCCAGAUAUGACUGCGGAUUCCUUUCCAGCUUAGUCCACACAUGCAGUUCCUCCUCCUUCGGGCUUAUACCAUCACAUUUUGGACACCUAGGGCACUGAUAUUCACCAGACACUUUGAUAUUGCAUACCUUGUUGGUGUGUUUUGGGACUACAUUGUUAGUUGGUCGUUUGAGUUUUUGUUCUCUUUUAUUUUGUAUUUGAGUCUUGUUUUAUAGUUAGUGUUUUGAGUUCACACCUUGUGCUUCGAGAGUAGACCUUUGUUGUCCUAUUAUUUUGCAUGAUGUACUCUCAUUUCACUUAGUGAUAUUGUUGUUUUCUUGGGUAUAUGUUUUUGUCUUUUUUUUAAUUAUUAUUAUCAUUGUUUCGUAUCAUGCAUUUUAUGUGUUGUUAUCUUGUGUUAGCAUCUUGUGUUGCUUUGUUUUGUCUUUUGCAUGUGUUUGUUUUAGAGUCUUGGACAGUUUUAGUGUCGUGACUGGUCCCCGAGCAGAUAUUGAUGGUAUGAUGGUUAUGAUACAGAGCACAUUGAGAUUAGACUUCUUCAGUUGAGGUUCACCAUGUCGGACGAGAUCACACCCAUUACUCUUACUGCUCUUUAUGAGAUGAUGGUGGAUUUGACGCGGAGGGUUGAGAGGAUUGAGCUCAUUUUGUCAGGGCAUCCAUCGUCAUCGAGAGGAGCUCCAGGAGUAGCGAUGCCUUCAUUGCCACACUUGACUUCAUCGACACCUGCUACUUUAGGUGCCUCACAUCCACGACCUCGCCCACAUUCAGUGUUCCAGCAGCAUUCCUCAUCCAUUUCACUGGCUACGCCGACACGACCUCCGCCCCAGUUUCGGGGCCCUCCGGUCGUUACAGUUCCUCAGGAUCGAUUUCCUUCCCAUCGACGAUGUCGGAGACACUUUUCAGAUUUGGGCGCACCCCUGAGCAGAGUUUUUGAGACGUUCCAGGCCAUGGGACUUUUGGAUCCUCUGGCUCCUAGGGCACUUCCAGAUCCUGUGCCUCCACAGUUUCGACUUGAUUUAUAUUGUAUGUACCAUCAGUCAGUAGGACAUCACACUGAUCGUUGCACUGCUCUACGACAUGCCAUACAAGACAUUGUUGAUUCUAGGACGUUUGGGCAUCCUCAGUCCGAUAUGUUCCCUAUUCCUACCUCAGCUCAGGCCAUGCAUGCAGACGCCCCUUCAUCGGCAGUCCAUGAUCUUAUUGAUUUGGGCGAUUGACUCAUGAUUGGCUUACCUUGGUGUGGUGGCACUCAGAUUUUGUUCCUUCUGUGGCCAGAGAUGUGAUGACAGGACCAGUCACUGUUUUUGUUUUUGUUUGUUUAGUCUUGUUUUGCUUUUGACUUUUAGAGACUAUAACUCGAUUCUUGAGUAUUGUCUUUGUUGUCUUUCUUUUACAUGAUGUACUCAUCGGAUUAUCCCAGUGUAUGCAUUCUCCUUUAUGGACGUAUGCUUGUGUUUUAUGAUGUGCUAUACUUUUGACUUGAGGCGUCUUUUCACUUGUAUAUUGUGGUCUUGAGGUUUGACCUAUCAUGGAGGAUAUUGAGCCUAUUAGCCUAGGAUCAGAGAUUUGACCUAGAGAGUUCGAGACUGUGACACAUCUUCUUAUGAUCAGAGUCGUACCUUGCUCACUUACCACACCUUGACUUGGUUUUGACCUACAUCCAUCCAUUGCGAGCUUUGCACAGCAUCACCCUUGAGACCAUUACAUGACCUUUCCAUCAUUUUCCAGUUUUGCACAUCCCCUCUCUGAUCCGACCAGGUAGAGUGUGAGGAGUUUGAGCCCAGGGUUGAUCUUGCAUGGCGAGGGAUAUCUUAUGAUCUUUGGGUGGUUUACGAUAUGUGGAUUGGUCGAUUGCUUGAUGGGACUGUCACUUAUUUUGCCAUGAGUAUAGAGAUUGAUCUUGUAUGUUGCGAGUUGGCUUGUGAUGGGCAGUCGUGCCUGAUGAGAUCACCGUUCACUUUGCUUUGAGAGGAUCAUCUUUGAGAUUAUUAUGGAGCAUUCGGAGUACGGUCUGGUGCAUGAUUCUAGAGGGUUGACGUGGUUAUAUCAUAUGGACAUUGAUAUUUAGUAUUGAUCAUUUGAGGACUUGAUAGCACGAUGUUUGAGACCGUGGUCGUAGGAUGGGUGGCCUUCAUUUCGGUUAGCUCACACCUUAUUACCUUUAUUGACAUCUAGACCAUUGCUAGCCCUUUGAGCCUCGCAUGAGCAUCAUAGCCUUUUAUUUCUUAUAGCCUUGCUCACCUUCUACACAGGGAUAGGGGCCCUUCAGUGUAUGUAUGCAUUGUUUAGGAGUUUCAUGAGCCUUGGACCUAAGGGCGCAUCUUUCUCAUUAUCUUUUCCUAUCAUUGCAUCAUUGCAUUUCAUCACACUUCAUCGAUUGCGUCCUUUAUCCUAUCUAUUACUCGUUUUGCAUCACUUUCUCCACCCCGAGUGGUGAUCCCCCUCAGUUCAUUACAUGGAGGGUAGUCACGUCAUUUCCACUAUCUAUCAUACGGACGUUGAUCCAGGGAUCCUUGGCUUGAGAGGGUCACAUCAUUAGAGAGAGUUUAUGCUACAUUGGCAUUUGAGAGUAUGUUUAUCCAUUUUUACUUCAUCUUUAGAUCUUUCUUGGUUUGUGUUCAGAGCAUGUACAUUUUGUCUAUAUGUAAAAAAAAAAAAAAAAAAAAUGAUUGAAAAAAAAAAAGAAAAAAGAAAAAAAAAAAGAAAAGAGGCACAUGUGUGUAUUAUUCUCUAUCAUUGAGUAUGUGUAUAUGAGUGUUCGAGGGGUCGCUUUGUUGGAUAUGUCUAUUGAUGGGAGUUCGUAUGUGAGCUCCUCGGGACCUUUCAUUCUUCGUAUUCAUUUUGUUGUAUGUCUUGAGAGCGAGAUGAGUGGCCUUCUCUUAGGAGCUUUGGGUCAUUGUCCAUUCCAUCAU